UGCACAUCUAGUCCCUUGAAAUCUGAAUUCUGGGAAGGGCCUGGGCAUGGGUGGGAUCCUGGCAUCCAGCCAGGGUUGAGGUCAUCUGGGGAAGUCCCUUUGCUCUGGGAGGAAGGGUGAACAGCUGUUGAGAGCCACAGCCUAAGGGGCCCCAGCAAACUUCCAGCUGAUUGGCUCACAGCGGCCCCAGCAAACUUCCAGCUGAUUGGCUCAUGGUGGCCCCAGCAAGCUUCAGCUACCAGCUGAUUGGCUCCUCUGCAGGGAUGCUCAUUGGGCUGUUUCCCCGCCCUUUCAGACCACGGAGCUGCUCAUUGGGGGACUUUUUUGCUCCGCCCAUGUAACCCAGCCAAUCAGCCUCAAGAGCAGGAGGAGUGGGAGGUUGAGCGGCUCCUGGGAAGCCGGUGGUGGCAGUUGGGCUCUGAGAGAAUUCCUGUAGAGCUCCAGUGGUGAGGUGUGUGUUCUAAAAAUAAAGUUCGCUCUGCUUGACAAGUGGCUUGUGAAUUGUGCCCAGCCAGACUGACGCAUUUGGUGGCCCGCACGGAAGGACUGAGGGUAAGUGAGAAGGUAGACUGCUCGCCCCUGAGGGCAGGGCGAGAGGAUGGGGUAGCCAUUUUAAGAUUCUUCUUUCCUUUUGUUUCGCUUUUGUUUUAAGUUGCCUGUCCCUGGAGAUGAGUGAGAAGGAAGAAAAACCGCUCACAUCUGAGGAACAGAUAGGGAGAAAGGACGGAUGGACAUUUCAGGAGGAUAGAAAGGCUGAUAUAAUGAUUUUGUGUUGUUCCAUUUUUGUUUCAUUCUGUCUCGGUUUUGUUUGGCGUCAUCUUGUUGGGUUGUAUUAUAGUAGAAAUAUGGGAUCAGAAAUUAGUAAAAAUCAAACCGAAAGAGUGUUAAGUAAAUUGUUAGAGGAAGGAGGCAUCCCAGUAAAAUCAAGAACAGUCAGGGCAUACGUUGAUACAAUACAAAAAUGUAGCCCAUGGCUUUUUAAGGAGGAGUUGUUAAAUAUAUCACAAUGGAACCAUCAUGGUGAAGAUUUAAAAAGAAUAGAAAAGAAAAGCCCAGGGACUCUGCCAGUUGGCACAUUGCCAUUGUGGGCAUUGGUAUCUUGUUUGCUUAGUCCAAAGCCUUCAGUUCAGACAAUGGUAGAAGAAGGAGAAGACAUAUUGAUUCAAGUAAAAGAGAAGGCCUCUCGAGUUAGUCAGAGGAAAAGAUUCAAGUAAAAGAGAAGGUCUCCUGAGCUAGUCAGACAGAGGAAGAAAGUUUAGAGCAGAAAAAGCCAUCAGGGGAAACGUUACAACAGGAGACUGCUACUAACACCUUUCUAUCACCAGAGGGUGGAAGUGUCCAACCAACAGCACCACCUCCAUAUGCUGGGAGGCCCCCAACCCCCGUAGUUGGUAGAUGGGAUCCUGAGACAGGAUCUCAAAUAUUAGCAUGCCCUGUAUUUGAGCAGGCAGGAAAGGCAGCGAAUUCACCAUGCUUUAGAUUUCAAAACAGUGAAGCAGCUAAAAGAGACUGUAACAACCUAAGGUCCUCAAGCACCCUUCACUGUAAGCAUGGUGGAAUCCAUUACCAACUUGAACAUGAUGCCAGCAGAUUGGACUAGUAGGUGUAAAGCUGUGCUAAAUGGAGGACAAUACCUGUUAUGGAAGGUUGCCAAUGAGGAAUUUUGCACGGAGACAGCUAGGCGAAAUGCACCAGCCGGUUAUCCUCAGAGAAAUCUAGAUAUGUUGUUAGGAAAGGGACCUUAUGAGGAUCAGCAGCAACAAAUUGCAUAUGAUCCUGCCGUAUACUCACAAAUUGCUGUUGAUGUGGUUAGGGCAUGGAAGACUUUACAAGGACAUGGAGGUUUACAAGGUCAAUUAUCUAAGGUUACACAAGGAGCUAAUGAACCUUAUGCUGAAUUUGUAGAUAGGCUUAUUCAAACAGCUACCAGAGUUUUUGGGAAUACAGAACAAGCAAUGCCAUUAAUAAAACAACUGGCUUAUGAGCAAGCAAAUCAUUGGUGCAGAGAGGUCAUUAGACCAUGGAAACAUGAAGAUUUAAACACAUAUAUUAAAUUAUGUAGAGACAUUAAUGAACAAGGGCAAGUCUUGGCAGCUGCAGUACAAAAGGUUUUAGAUACCAGGCCAAAAACAUGCUACAAUUGUGAACAAACAGGACAUUUUAAAAGGAAUUGCCCCAUAGGAGGAGGGUUUAAUAUAACUAGGUAUCAAAGGAGUAGAAUACCGGGUAUUUGCCCGCAAUGCUGUAGAGAGAGACACUGGGCUAAUGAAUGCCGUUCUCAAACCAUCAUAGAGGGUACUCCCCUCCCCCUAAGAAUUCCAAGUCCAGGAAGGCCCCACCUCCCAAUCCAGGAACGUGGGGGAUACCACCUCACAGCCCCUAGGCACUUCCUAGUGCCCCCAAAUGCAAGAGGCUCUGUGAAGGGGGUCCCUGGUGCCUCAUUUCUCCCUGGGUCCCUGGCUCACCCUGUCACACCCCCCACCUCCUUGUCCUUCUCUGAGUCCUUUUCUUUCUCACUUUAGAGACCCCCCUGCUUGUGCCAGGGGCUGACAGAGGUGAGUGGUGGGAACUCGAGGUUCAGGGACUAAUUCCACAAAGCGAGCCCACUGUGCUCAGCUCUGGAUGCCUUUGUUUCCCAAGAAGCAGUUGACCUGCAGCCCUGCCUGGCUUUAGUGGACAGGAUAUGUCACAUUCCUCAGGAAACUACCUGUUAUCUGCAGGAGAAAUGCAGGUCGGAAAUAAGGUUGACAAGAGGAACCCAAGUUACCCCGAAGGGGAAGACGGCUGUGACUCUUUCCACAGACCAGAUCCUGGCACUUCAGGAUAUAAGAAUAGUUCUCCCCAUAAUAUCUCUAAGAAUGUUGCGUUAAGAAUCCUAUUAGAGGGGCUGUUUGAAUGCUUGCCUAGCAUGUGUGAGGCACUGGGUUCGAUCCUUAGCACCACAUAAAAAUAAAUAAAUAAAAUUAAGUCACACUGAACAUCUACAGCUAUUAAUUUAAAAAAAAAAAAGAAUCCUAUUAGAAAGGGUCAGCAUGGGGAUUUGGAAAUCUGAUGUCAUCCUGCUGUCAAUCAAAACUCAAGAGGCAGAUGUGGGGGAAAUCUCUGGACACUUCUGUGGAUUCCCAAUAAAUCUGGAGUGCAGACGAGGCUUGUUGUCCAUCUCCUCUCUGUCCCUUGAGAAUGUCCCCUUUCCCUUUUCCUAAACCUUCAAUAAACUCAUG
rnacentral:lncRNA from 1 species